AACGAACGCUGGCGGCAGGCCUAACACAUGCAAGUCGAGCGAGGACUUCGUUCCUACCGGCUGACGGGGGAGUCACGCGUGGGAACGUUCCCUUUGCCUCCGAAUAGCCCUGUGAAACUGGGGGUAAUACCGGGAGAGUUACUCGGGUGAAAUAUUGAACUGCAGAGGGACGGCACGCGUUGUUUUAGGUGGGUGGUGGGGGAUUGGCCUACCAAGGCGACGAUCCAUAGCUGGUUUGAGAGGAAGAGCAGCCACUCUUGGACUGAGACACGGCCCAGACUCCUACGGGAGGCAGGAGUGGGGAAUCUUAGCCAAUGGGGGAAAUCCUGAUCUAGCCAGGCUGCGUGAGCGAUUAAGGCCGUAGAGUUGUAAAGCUCUUUCAGCUGGGAAGAUAAUGACGGUACCAGCAGAAGAAGCCCCGGCUAACUCCGUG
rnacentral:rRNA from 1 species